rnacentral:tRNA from 1 species
GGAGAGGUGCUCGAGUGGUUGAAGAGGCACGCCUGGAAAGUGUGUAUACUCCAAAAGGGUAUCAAGGGUUCGAAUCCCUUUCUCUCCG